rnacentral:rRNA from 1 species
ACGCUAGCUACAGGCUUAACACAUGCAAGUCGAGGGGAAACGACAUCGAAAGCUUGCUUUUGAUGGGCGUCGACCGGCGCACGGGUGAGUAACGCGUAUCCAACCUGCCCACCACUUGGGGAUAACCUUGCGAAAGUAAGACUAAUACCCAAUGAUAUCUCUAGAAGACAUCUGAAAGAGAUUAAAGAUUUAUCGGUGAUGGAUGGGGAUGCGUCUGAUUAGCUUGUUGGCGGGGUAACGGCCCACCAAGGCAACGAUCAGUAGGGGUUCUGAGAGGAAGGUCCCCCACAUUGGAACUGAGACACGGUCCAAACUCCUACGGGAGGCAGCAGUGAGGAAUAUUGGUCAAUGGACGAGAGUCUGAACCAGCCAAGUAGCGUGCAGGAUGACGGCCCUAUGGGUUGUAAACUGCUUUUAUAAGGGAAUAAAGUGAGUCUCGUGAGACUUUUUGCAUGUACCUUAUGAAUAAGGACCGGCUAAUUCCGUGCCAGCAGCCGCGGUAAUACGGAAGGUCCGGGCGUUAUCCGGAUUUAUUGGGUUUAAAGGGAGCGUAGGCCGGAGAUUAAGCGUGUUGUGAAAUGUAGACGCUCAACGUCUGCACUGCAGCGCGAACUGGUUUCCUUGAGUACGCACAAAGUGGGCGGAAUUCGUGGUGUAGCGGUGAAAUGCUUAGAUAUCACGAAGAACUCCGAUUGCGAAGGCAGCUCACUGGAGCGCAACUGACGCUGAAGCUCGAAAGUGCGGGUAUCGAACAGGAUUAGAUACCCUGGUAGUCCGCACGGUGAACGAUGGAUGCCCGCUGUUGGUCUGAAUAGGUCAGCGGCCAAGCGAAAGCAUUAAGCAUCCCACCUGGGGAGUACGCCGGCAACGGU